rnacentral:tRNA from 1 species
UCCGAUAUGGUGUAACGGCUAACAUCGCCGCCUUUCAAGUGGUUUUCACACAAAUUGAAAGCAUUGUCCGCGGCAGCUCGGGGUUCGAUUCCCCGUAUCGGAG